GGGUGGUCUAAUGGUUCGGUAGUUUUCAUUCGUAUGGAAUAUGGAUGGAAACUACCGAACAAUCAUUCGAAUGCUACAUACAAUCUAUCUAUACAGGAAAAUAAACACACAAAUUAAAUUUUUAACACAACCUUUGAGGACAGCCCCAUGCCAUCUGCUACACUGCUCCCCCUUGCCCACAAGCCGGCAUACACAGUCUGAUCCAACACGGAUCGGCUUGGGGAUGAC